CCCCCCCCCCAAUAAUUUCCAUUUGUAUAAGAAAAAUGCACAAAAGAACUAGAAAAGUGCGAAAGCAAUUCAGAUUUAUUCUUGGGCCCCCCAAUAUUGAUUUACUUCCGACGAUUUCUAGGCUGAGAAAUUUAGUCCGCUAGUAUUUUGUCAGUUUCUCAACAAAGGGCAUUUGAUGAUUUUGAUCAUUUAGUCAUAUGAGGAAACGGCGCUAUAGAUGUUUUUACACAGACGAUCAAACUAUUUACACAGACGAUCAGUUGGUUACAUAAAUCAUAAUUGCGAUUACGUGUUGCG